CUGUUUUUCAUUGGUCAGGAAUACUUGCUAAUGUUUCAGAGGCUUGUAAGCAAGAUCUUGACCUUAUGUGUCCCAACCAUUGCAGUAAUUCGAGGACAUGCAGUUGGCACAGGCUGCAUUUUUGCAUUGGCACAUGACUAUCGGCUCAUGGCCUCUAACUAUGGUUAUAUUUUCAUGAAUGAGUCACUGCAAUUGCAAUUUGGAGCCUAGUUAUCAAUACUUGGGAAGGUAUAUGCAAUUCAGAAGUCAGAAAAUAACUUAAGUUUAAUUUUCAUAUCCGCUUUCAAUAUACCAUGGC